UACGGGGGGUGCGAGCGUUGUCCGGAAUCACUGGGCGUAAAGGGCGCGUAGGUGGCGUGAUAAGGGUGUGGUGAAAGCCCGGGGCUCAACCCCGGGUCUGCCAUGCCGACUGUCAGGCUGGAGUACUGUAGGGGCAGGCGGAAUUCCGGGUGUAGCGGUGGAAUGCGUAGAGAUCCGGAAGAACACCGGUGGCGAAGGCGGGUCUCUGGGCCGAUACUGACGCUGAGACGCGAAAGCGUGGGGAGCAAACAGG
rnacentral:rRNA from 1 species